GGCUGCCAGCUUUACACCAAUAACACCUAAAACCAAAAAGAAUACUUCCUGAAGUCAGGAAUCUGACUGGGGAAUUUGAAGCAGCCCCAAGUUCAGUAACCAAUAUGACUGUGUGCAUAUUGAACGUUGUUGCUGGUAUUAAGUAUUUACUAGCGCUUCUCAGGGUUUGUAGCUCUUUUUGGUUUGUAGCUAGGUCACGGUCUCGCUAAUCGGGGCUGUCGCUGUUUGUGGAGCCAAUCAGUGUCCCUGGAGUUGAGCCAGGCUCCUCUGUCUGUUCUCCAUGAGGAACCUCAGCAGCUUUAAGUCCUCCUCGAUGAUGCCAAUAGCGGGGUUGGCCAAGGAUGUGGCGGCGAGCCAAGACGCAUGGGGUCGGUAGGUGCAUUCCCGGGGGUCCUGGUUGGAGACGUGAUAAUACCAUCUGUUGGUCACAACAGACCCGGGAGCCCUGCUGUCAAAACCGUCGACUCCCUCCACCGGUGUCGUUUCGAAGGCCAAACUUCAGGUCGCUAAAGGAGAAACGGAGAGGAUUGCCACACCACACGCAGCUCUGUCUAGUGGGAGACAGACCGAUCGUGGCGGAGGGGCUUCCGGAGAGACCACGUGGCUGCAGCUGCUGGACUCCGUCUGCAGCCUUUAGGUGACCGUUGUUGGUGAUAGAGGAGUCAAGCCGCUGUGCAGCGGUGGACGUGAGAUUCAGAACAUCGCUACCCUGAGGCGAAACUCCCAGGAACCUUGGAGAACAAGAGGUUCAUGAAAACACCAGGCGAAGCAGUCUGAAGACGACAAAUGACGGCGAUACCUUGUGAAGGUCGGACAGCUGCUGAUGUCUUAUCAAACCGUCUUUGUUGGGAAACUGUCUCCUACACAGCAGACAAGCCAUCUUCUUCCAGUCGGUGAGCUUGUCCAGACUCAUGUCGCCAGCGUCGGAUUCUGCCGCUCCUCCUUCCUCUGGGUCACUGUCUCCGCUGUAGGCUGCCACCAGGCCA